rnacentral:rRNA from 1 species
UCCACGCCCUAAACGAUGAACACUAGUCGUCGCCCUGCUUGUCAGGGCGGUGAUGCACUUAACAGAUUAAGUGUUCCGCCUGGGGAGUACGGUCGCAAGAUUAAAACUCAAAGGAAUAGACGGGGACCCGCACAAGUGGUGGAGCAUGUGGUUUAAUUCGAAGAUACGCGAAGAACCUUACCUGGCCUUGACAUUGAUAGAAUCUGCUAGAGAUAGCGGAGUGCCCUUCGGGGAGCUUGAAAACAGGUGCUGCACGGCUGUCGUCAGCUCGUGUCGUGAGAUGUUGGGUUAAGUCCCGCAACGAGCGCAACCCUCGUCCUUAGUUGCCAGCAGGUUAAGCUGGGCACUCUAGGGAGACUGCCUUCGCAAGGAGGAGGAAGGUGAGGACGACGUCAAGUCAUCAUGGCCCUUACGGCCAGGGCUACACACGUGCUACAAUGGGGCGUACAGAGAGUUGCAAUACCGCGAGGUGGAGCCAAUCUCAU